rnacentral:rRNA from 1 species
UACGUAGGGGGCAAGCGUUGUCCGGAAUCAUUGGGCGUAAAGCGCGCGUAGGCGGCCCGAUAAGUCCGCUGUAAAAGUCAACGGCUCAACCGUUGAAAGCCGGUGGAUACUGUCGGGCUAGAGUCCGGAAGAGGCAAGUGGAAUUCCUGGUGUAGCGGUGAAAUGCGUAGAGAUCCGGAGGAACACCAGAGGCGAAGGCGGCAACCUGGCUCGUAACUGACGCUCAUACACGACAGCAUGGGGAGCGAACGGG